ACUGUUAGUGCAAACGGUUUAAAUGUUUUGAGGCCAAAACAAGAGAGAGACCGCCUCAUUACUGCUUUUAAUGAGCUUCAAAACAAAGAUGAUCAAGACGCCUUUCAGUCUACACAAAUUGAUGUGGAAAUUGUUGCAAGAAGAAGACCAAAAACAGAUGUCACAGAUCCAAAACCAAAAGACAAAUCUUACAGUUAUAUGAUCAAGGUUCAACGGGAGCACAAAAUGGAAAAAUUAGAUCUCUGUUUUAGGUAUUUAUUGCCAUUUUUGGAAUCAGUCACAAACGAGUUAGGAUAAUACAGACAGCACUGAAAGAAACUGUAACCAUUUAACAGCAAGACAAAUUGUUGUUGUUGAUCAUGGAAUGAAGACUUUGAUUGAUACGAGUGUUAAAAGAAGUGACAAUUUUUAUGAAUACCUGAAAGAUCUGAAGUCUGUGACAAUUCAUGUGGUUUGCCUAAAAAAAGAAACUCAGAAGAGUACUAUUGUUGCAUUUAAAAGACAGCAAGAUACCAAUCAAGUCAGCAUAUCUGAAAAUAGUCCACCUCGUACCAGAGCACGCGUAGCACUAGUGACAUACACUUGUUGUAUUUUACCAGAUGAGAGAUCAGUGUAACUCGACUCCAGUUACAAUUGAUUCAUAAGUUGGAAGAGAUUUAUCAGUUUUUUUCUGCAAGAUUAUGUUCACCAGCUUGAAAACGACUU